rnacentral:rRNA from 1 species
GACGAACGCUGGCGGCGUGCUUAACACAUGCAAGUCGAACGGAAUGGCCCUGCUUUUGUGGGGUGCUCGAGUGGCGAACGAGUGAGUAACACGUGAGUAGCCUGCCCUUGACUUUGGGAUAACUUCAGGAAACUGGGGCUAAUACCGGAUAGGAGCUCCUGCUGCACGGUGGGGGUUGGAAAGUUUCGGCGGUUGGGGAUGGACUCGCGGCUUAUCAGCUUGUUGGUGGGGUAGUGGCUUACCAAGGCUUUGACGGGUAGCCGGCCUGAGAGGGUGACCGGCCACAUUGGGACUGAGAUACGGCCCAGACUCCUACGGGAGGCAGCAGCGGGGAAUAUUGCACAAUGGGCGGAAGCCUGAUGCAGCAACGCCGCGUGCGGGAUGACGGCCUUCGGGUUGUAAACCGCUUUCGCCUGUGACGAAGCGUGAGUGACGGUAAUGGGUAAAGAAGCACCGGCUAACUACGUGCCAGCAGCCGCGGUGAUACGUAGGGUGCGAGCGUUGUCCGGAUUUAUUGGGCGUAAAGGGCUCGUAGGUGGUUGAUCGCGUCGGAAGUGUAAUCUUGGGGCUUAACCCUGAGCGUGCUUUCGAUACGGGUUGACUUGAGGAAGGUAGGGGAGAAUGGAAUUCCUGGUGGAGCGGUGGAAUGCGCAGAUAUCAGGAGGAACACCAGUGGCGAAGGCGGUUCUCUGGGCCUUUCCUGACGCUGAGGAGCGAAAGCGUGGGGAGCGAACAGGCUUAGAUACCCUGGUAGUCCACGCUGUAAACGGUGGGUACUAGGUGUGGGGUCCAUUCCACGGGUUCCGUGCCGUAGCUAACGCUUUAAGUACCCCGCCUGGGGAGUACGGCCGCAAGGCUAAAACUCAAAGGAAUUGACGGGGCCCCGCACAAGCGGCGGAGCAUGCGGAUUAAUUCGAUGCAACGCGUAGAACCUUACCUGGGUUUGACAUGGAUCGGGAGUGCUCAGAGAUGGGUGUGCCUCUUUUGGGGUCGGUUCACAGGUGGUGCAUGGCUGUCGUCAGCUCGUGUCGUGAGAUGUUGGGUUAAGUCCCGCAACGAGCGCAACCCUUGUUCACUGUUGCCAGCACGUUAUGGUGGGGACUCAGUGGAGACCGCCGGGGUCAACUCGGAGGAAGAUGGGGAUGACGUCAAGUCAUCAUGCCCCUUAUGUCCAGGGCUUCACGCAUGCUACAAUGGCUGGUACAGAGAGUGGCGAGCCUGUGAGGGUGAGCGAAUCUCGGAAAGCCGGUCUCAGUUCGGAUUGGGGUCUGCAACUCGACCUCAUGAAGUCGGAGUCGCUAGUAAUCGCAGAUCAGCAACGCUGCGGUGAAUACGUUCCCGGGGCU